CACACACACUUUAUCUAAUCCUGCAGCACUGCCUCGCAUAAAUUACCUCUCAACCUUUCGCACAAUAACCCACUUAACAAGGUUAAACUGCUAAUUAUGGACCUUUACAUUAACACACACACUUACAUUAGCAUGGCAACACUGUACUCUCUCUCUCUCAAACCAUUUAUCUCACCGUAACUACAGUCAAUUCCUGCCUAACUGACCAUAAUCUGGUCUUAAUCUGAACCUUAACCAACACCGCAUCUCACGACUGACGAUCACUGAUCCAGACAAGGACAGUAAAUACAUAAACGCACCUUUAUUCUCGUCCCCUCACCAAAAGAAUUUUAGUGGUUCGACCUCCAGCUUCUCUAAUUUACAUGCUGAUGUGUCUUUAUGUAAAACACCAUUGUGACUUUAUAGCUUUACUUAAUUAGCUUUACUUUAAGGAAUAUUUGGUAGAAAAUGCCACAGACUUAAUAUUCAGGAGUAAAAUGUAUACUCAGACUUGUUUGUUUAACGCCGCCACCUGCUGGUAUCACAUUGUUAUGUCAUGUUAUAAGUAAGUACGUCAAAUUCACAGAUAUAAAAUCACAAAGUGUGUCACGAUAACAACAACAACAACAACAACAACAACCAAAGAACAGAUCUCAAUACGAUACAAGACAAUCAUUUAAAACCCUCGUUCAACUAAAGGCUUGUUUAAAAAGAGUGGACACAAGUUAGGCAGCGCCAUGUGAUCAAGUCUAGAUGCUUUCCGUGAUUGUAGGAGCCUUUUUCUGUUCAUUUAUCCCGAUUAUCAGGUUUGUUUACACCUUGAUUAUUUGUUUUUUUAACACUAUUGAAGACACGUUGACAAAUACGUGCAUGGCCAGUUUAUCCGCCUUAAAGCAGGUGAUCGAUGAACAAAGGGAAUUCAAUCCAAAGACUGAGGUCACACCCAGUGGAGUGAUUAGUCACUACAGUGAGUGACAAAGUCAAAGACGGGAGGGAAUUUUGGUGCGUGCGCAAAAGUCCAACUCCAGUCCGACUAAGCGUAUACAUGCAGGAUUAAACUGACUAGUCACAUCAACCAGGUGUGGCGAAGGGGGCGGGUCCUCUGAUGGCUGAUGGUAGCGAACGAGCUUCGAGGCAGGAACGUAGCCUCGCCUGCCUGCGGGAAGUGGAAAUAGUAUUGUAAUGUUAUUCAUACGUGUCAGUAAACGACACUUUCUGAAGGAUAUAAAGGAGUGAAAAUUGACCAUAAACAUGGUC